UACGGAGGGUGCAAGCGUUGUUCGGAAUCACUGGGCGUAAAGCGCGUGUAGGCGGUCUCCUAAGUCUGGUGUGAAAGCCCGGGGCUUACCCCCGGAAGUGCAUUGGAUACUGGGAGACUGGAGUACCGGAGAGGAGGGUGGAAUCCUGGUGUAGCGGUGAAAUGCGUAGAUAUCAGGAAGAACACCGGUGGCGAAGGCGGCCCUCUGGACGGAUACUGACGCUGGAGACGCGAAAGCGUGGGGAGCAAACAGG
rnacentral:rRNA from 1 species